rnacentral:lncRNA from 1 species
AGGACCCGAGGGCGGGGCGGGAGCAGCUCGGGUUCGCGCUCUCCCUCGCGGCGGAGCGGACAGCUUGCAGUUGGGGGGCCGACGGUACCUUUUGGAUAGGUCCAUGAGGACCCCGGAGAAGAGCUUCUCCCCGAGGCGGAACGACACGACGAGCGCGUCCUCGAUGAUGUGGUCCAGCGUGACCCGCACCUCCGAGCCGGGGAUGAGAAGGAGCCGUCUGUCGCGGGCUGAGUCCCGCCCCCUCCCUCAGAGUAGGAACUUCCCAUUGGUCAGGUGAGUUGUCAAGUGGAGAAUCUAAAAGGAGUUUGAGGGGCGGGCUGAAGGAUGGCAAAAGCGGCGCCCUGUGCUUACAGCCUGUAUCUAUUGGUUAGUAGGGGAAAUACCGCUUUAGGAUUGGUUUAUGCCCCUGCCCUUACUCGGCCCGUUCUUCGGAGGUGGGAGAAGGGAAGAAAACGCGAGUCGUGCCAGUUCUUUCAAAGACUCCCCAAGGGGGGAAUAGCGGGAGAAUGCAGAAAGGGAACCACUUCCCAAGAAUCUUUGCGCAGAGAUCCUUAGAAUAAAUGUUAUUUCUAGGCUUGGAUUUGCUUGUGGCCAAGUGUGGGCACAACAGGCUUCUGUUGGGAAAGAUAACUAAAGUUCCGAAAAUAAUCCUGAGACACUUUUUGGGUGCCUAUUCACUAGUCAGAUUACGAGGUGCUGGAAACAGGGCGAUGUACAAGACAUUCUCCAUGACCACAUGACAGGAGCUCCCGCAUACACACAAGCGGUGUUUUCCUUGGUUUCACUCUUUAAAAUAUAAAGGACUAAACUCUAGGAACCUGCUAAUUUCAAAAAAGGAAAAUUCUAACGAGAAGACAGACAACUGGCAUGCUAAAUUGACUGUAGUCCUUAGAUCCACGGAAAGAGUUCACUAUUGAAGCCUUUUCUUUCCUUACCCUCUUCCUUGCCGUGUGCAGAAAGAAAGAAAGAAAGAAAGAAAGAAAGAAAGGAAGGAAGGAAGGAAGGAAGGAAGAAAGAAAGAAAGAAAGAAAGAAAGAAAGAAAGAAAGAAAGAAAGAAAGAAAGAAAUCUAGGCAUAGUUGCCGGUGGGGCAGCUCUUGGGAGGCACAGGCAGAAAUGGCAAAAUUCUAGUCCAGACUUAAUACAGUUUCAGGAUAGACUCAACUGCAAACUGAGAUCCCAUCCCAAGAAAGAAAAGAUGAGGGCUAGGGGAGCCCUCCAGUGUCCUAAGGUCCUUGUUUUUGUGGUUUGGGUUUUUGUUUUGAAACAGCGUCUCCCUAUGUACUUCUGGCUUGCCUGGAACUCACAGAGAUCGGCCUCCUUCUCUCUGCCUCCCAAGUGUUGCGUUUAAAGACCAAUUCUAUUUGAAAUCUGUUAAGUCUAGAAGGAGCCACUGUACUCAUUUCUUGCAGAUUGUUCCUCAGUCAGUCCUUUCUAAUAGGAGCAAUCAGAGGCACUGAAAACACCUACAAAAGAGAAAGAAGAUAUUUACCAACGUGGAGGGAAGAAUGAAAUGUCAAAGAUUAAUUGAAUACUAUAUAUCAAUAUCUAGUACAAUCUUACAUGGUCCUUGGGUCAAGGCCUGGGAUUUUGGUUUGUGAGAAGAAGAAAGAAGAAGAAGAAGAAGAAGGAGAAGGAGAAGGAGAAGGAGAAGGAGAAAAAGAAGAAGGAGAAGAAGAAGAAGAAGAAGAAAAAUUCAGAUCUUUUCUAUAUCAAAAACAUUUUCUACCAAAUGAGCUGCAUGCUUUAGGUUACACAUCUUACUGAGGACAGAAAACAAACAAAUGCCUUUUUUUCUUUUUCCUUGCUGUGAACAGGCCUGCUGUUUUGAACACUGUCACAAAUGCUUGCUGGAUUUUGUUUGGGGCAAUAAUAUGUUUAGUUAAUGAGCUAACCUCACUAAGAAGCCCUGCAG